GCCCUGGGGCAAAGUGGCUGCUUUCCUUACGAUUCCGCAGCCCGCAAGAGACUGGGCGCUUGAUCGCGUAUACGAUAGAUGCAACCUUCUGUUAGCAGGGUCCCCGAUCCUGGAUUUCAUCCUCCAGAUAAUAAAGACGCGAACACACUAAGGACAGAUGAGGACUGGCGGGCUGCCUUUACCGUUAGUCACCGCCGGAUCCUGUCCCUGCAUGGCCGGAGCAGGCUCCUCAACGCGAGAGCCGCUAGGAACCAGCGCUGCCGAGAUCCGGAAGGUCACUCCCCUGGCUGCGUGAUCCUCCCUGCCGUCGACAGCGGCCUUCAUGGAUAAAAUAAAAAUUUCCCAGAAUAGAUUGAAUAGAAUAGAAUAAUCAUAAAUUUUUUUUUUUCUUUCUGAAAAUAUAAAGCAGCUACCGCUGCAAAGCGCUUCGCUGUGACAGUCUUUCAUAUGCAGGCAAGGUCUUUGCACUGCCCAUAAUGUAACGGCCACUGCACCCUUCUCGGGUUCUUUGAAGUGAUCCGCUCUUGAGUUUGGUACUAUUAUAUUCAUAAGGCAAGUAUUUACUACUUAGGCCAUCUCUCUCUGCUGUGUUUCAUUUUGAAGAAAAAUAACAGCUAAUGUUAAUUGAGAGUUUACCUUGUCCCAGGCGUGGUGCUAAGCUUAUACUGAUCCUGAGAACAACCCUUUGAGGUUACUCCGAAGAAGAGAAUAGAGGCAGCCAAGGAGGAUGCUGUUGAACUGGUUAGGAAGCCAUUGCAGCCAUCCCAGCAAGAGGUGAUGAUAAUGUGAACUCAGGAAAAGGCAGAGGAGACAGAAAAGUGGACCGAUUUCAGAGGUCCACAAUCUCCACUCCGCAAUUCCAAACUAGGAAAAAAACAAACAAACAAAAACUUCUGAAACCAAAUAGUGUUUUUUUAAGUUUGGUACCCAGACUGAUUUUGCAGCAAAACCUCCUCUGAACAAACGUGAAGCCUCUGGUAACGUCUUAGCACUCCUAUCCAUCAGUCACACAUGCUUCUACCAUUUGCUGAGAUUUUGUGACUUGGGAAUUAAUUGCAUGGUGAAAAUGUCCAAAAGAGUUAAAGAUAUACCUAUGGGUAACAGUGAAAAGAAGAAAAGGAGACAUCUAUCUUUGUCAAUAGCUCAGAAAGUGGAGUUACUGCAGAAGCUUGAUGGUGGUAUGUCUGUGAGGCAUCUUACUGAAGAAUAUGGUGUGGGAACCACCACCAUAUAUGACUUAAAGAAACAGAAGGACAAGUUGUUGAAAUUUUACAGUGACAGUGAUAACCAAGAACUAAUGAAAAACAGAAAAACAUUGCAUAGGACCAAAAAUGAAGAUCUUGACCACAUGUUGAUUGAAUGGAUUUGACAACAAAGAAGUAAAAAUAUGCCGUUGACUGGUUUGUUGGUCAUGAAACAAGCUAGAAUAUACCAUGAAAAACUGAACAUUCAAGGUAAGUGUGAAUAUUCAGAAGGCUGGCUGCAGAAAUUUAAGAAGCAUCGUGGUAUCAAAUAUCUUAAAAUCUGUGGUGAGAAAGCUUUGGCUGAUCAUGACACUGCUGAAAAUUACAUUGAUGAAUUUGCUAAGGUGAUAUCUGAUGAAAACCUUAGUCCUGAACAAAUUUAUAAUGCUGAUGAAACAGCUCUGUACUGGUGCUACGUUCCUAGAAAAACCUUAAAAAUGGCCAGUGAAAGGUCCCAACAGAUUUCGAGGAUGCCAAGCAAAGGUUGACUGUUCUUGGGGAUGUUAAUGCUGCAGGAACUCACAAGAUAAAGCUGGCAGUGAUUGGAAAAAGCCUGUAUCCAAGAUGUUUAAAAGGUGUGUGCAGUUUGCCUGUGCAUUAUUAUGCAAACAAGAAAGCUUCAGUAACGAGAAAUCUUUUCUGACUGGUUCAAUAAACACUUUGUGCCAGCAGCACGAGCUCAUUGCAAGCAAGCUGGACUAGAAGAGAACUGCAAAAUUUUAUUGUUUCUGGACAAUUCUUCUGCACACCUUCCUCCUGAACUUCUUGUGAAAAGUAAUGUUUUUGGCAUUUUCUUUCCCCCCAGUGUGACAUCCAUAAUACAGCCUUGUGACCAAGGAAUUCUACGCUCCACGAAGAGCAAGUAUAAACGCUUUUUUUGAACAGCAUGCUUGCUUCGAUUAACAAAGGCCUGGAAAUCCAAGAGUUCCUUAAAGAAUUCAAUCUUAAGGAUGCUAUCUAUGCAGUUGCUAAUGCUUGGAAUGAUGUUGAAAAGUCAAUGUUAACAAAUGCUUGGCACAGACUUUGGGCUACAAUGAUGUUUGAAAAUGACCUGGCUUAUGAAGAGUUUGAAGAAUGUAGUAACUCUAAUGAGAAGAAGAUGAUAUCAAAACUCAUUACUUAUGCCAAAAGUUUAUCAGCUGAAAGUGUAAAUAAUUUAGAAGAAGCUGAUAUUGAAGAAAUGCUGAACAUUAACAAUGAUGCACCCAUUGUGCAUCCUUUAAGUGAUGGGGAAAUUUCUGAGAAGGUGUUAAAUACAGAUCAGAAUGAAGGUAGUAGUAGUAGUGAUGAUGGCAUGAUGAGCACAAGUGAGAAAAUCUCCAUAGACCAUAUGGUGAAAAUGUGUGACCGAUUGCUGGCCUUGAACCAUAUGCAUUUUUCAGUGAGGAAGACAUCAUGGCAAUUUACUCAAUUAAAGAGAAACUGCUUAGACAGAAACCUAUGGUAAGGAGACCAAUUACACUAGGGAAAGUCUUUUAAAUUCCCUCUGUGGUAAUGUCUCUUCAUCAUUUGAGAAUCCUCUCUCUGGCUCAUCAUCAGAUGUCCAGUUCCAACCUGGUUUCAGCGACAAUGGCAACAGCAGAUGUGUAACCUUUUCUCUAAGAUUCUCAUGCAACUAGAAGUGAUGAACAUUCAUUGCAUGCAUAGAUGUAUUGGUAUUUAUCUUAGUUUUUAUCAGUAUAAAGUUUAAUAAAAAUUUUCCUUAGAAAUAAGUUUUAUCACAAGCAGCCAAAGAUAGAAGCAGCUUAGAGUAUGUAUGGUCUAUAUUUGUUCCUGUAUUUUAUGUAAAUAAAUUGUAAUAUUAUUUAUGGUCUUUAUUCCACUUAGUGUGAAUAUUCAUAGGUUUCUCUGCCUAAAUAGUAAUAUGUUUAUUACAGGGUGCUGCCCCGACCCACUUGUGGUUACAAAAUAUAUAUUAUAAUUUAUUUCUAAAUUCCCAAAUCUUCUCAUUUCCAAAACACAUCUGGCUCCCACAGUUUUGGAUAAGGGAUUGUGGACCUGUAGUACCUACCGUGGAGGGUUGUUUUGAAGAUCCAAUGAGAUGAUUGAUGUAAAGUGCCUGGCACAAAGUAAAUGUUUAUUAAAUGUAAUUAUUAUUCCAUUCCUGUACUGUUAAAAUAUGGAGAUAAGUUCUCUCUGACAUUGAGGCUAAUAAGUUGACCUAGCAUAGAUAAUAAGUAUCAUUAAGAAGUUACCCCUGUAAAAGUUGCUUUGACAAUGUGCUGCUGCUAAUGUAUACUAGAGUAUUUCCUAAAUCUUCAACCAAAAUGUGGAAGUGUUUCCCAAAUCCAAGGAUAGAAUAUAUUACACUACAUUGCAUGUUUGUAAAAUGUGUAUACCUUUAGUUAGCCUUUAUUCUAUUCAUCAAAGAAAUAUAAUUAUUUAUCUGUCUGCUAAUCAUUCCCUUAACUCCCUCCACCGCAGUCAUCACAAAAACAAUAAUUUAAUCUUCCUUGUGAGCAAGGAUUGAUUCUUGAUUCUUAACCCUCUUUGUAUACGCCUCACCUUCUAUCAUAAGACCUGGAACAUAGCUGAAUAAAUAAAAUUGGUAUUCUGUUUUCUCUUAGCCUUAAAAAAUGUGAAUUGAUUCCUUAAGGCCUGGUCUCCUUUGUUUGGCAUUUUCUGAAAUGUUUGUUUAUUUAAAACACAACGUUAUUACUUUUCUCUGAUUGUAAAUGGCGUAUAUGGUUAUUGUAGAAAACAUGGAAAGUAUGAUUCA